AGUAUAUAUAUAUUUAAUUUAUUACUAUAUAAUUGUGGUGAUUGAUUUUAGUUUUCAUCUGACUAAGCCACAGAGUGUCUAGAUGUUUGGUGAAAUGUUAUUCUGAGUGUGUCUAUGAGAGUAUGUUUUGGAUGAGAUUAACAUUUGAAACAGACCAAAUAAAGCAGAUUGACCUUGCUAACGUGGGUGGGCCUCAUCCAUCAAUUGAAAGCAGAAUAGAACAAAAAGCUGACCCUUCCACAAGUAAAAGGGAGCUCCAUCUGCCUGACUGCUUUGAGCAGGGAAUUUGAUUUUCUUUCUUGCCUUUGAAUUCCAACUGAAACACUGGUUCUUCUUGGGUUUUUUACUGUUGACCUUCAACUGGAAUUUACAGUAUCAGCCCUCCAGGAUCUCUAGCUUAUCAACUGCAUACAGAUCUUAGAACUUGUCAGCCUCCACAACAUGUGCUCAAGUUCAGCCCUGACUCUGAGACGGAGGCUGUCUAUUGCUUUAACUGCAUGGAUGUUUUUGAAAGCUUCAAUUCCUAAGAAAAUUCCACAGCUAUACCGGCGCCUAUAAUGUGACUGAGGUUAAGAUCCCACUCCCAUUGGUGAAUACAUUUCUUUCAUUGGGGAUUCUGAACAACUAGAUCUUCAGGAACCUGAAUAACAGGUGUUUUUGUGAGGAUCCUUCUAACAUGGGAAAACACAGCCACUAGCCAUUCAAACACAAUGCAUUAUGGGUGCAAGUUUUCUAAGUUCUCCACAUGACUACCAGACUAGGCAAUGAGAUUUUCUGGCAUCCCAGUCUGCAGCCUCUCAAGCUGCACCAAAAGUAGGAUUCAUAAAACCAAAGAUAAAGCAUUUCUUUUUUUUUUAAGAUAAAGCAUUUCUGACCUUUCCUCCUAGAAGUUAGAGGGUUCUUUAGGGAGGGAGGGUAACGAGGUGUUGCAUCAAAGCUUGCCUUCACACUCACUACUGGGGGAAAGGUGACUAAGUAUAUCCCGUGCACACUUGUGAUGAAUGUGAAGCAUCCAGAUUCUUUCCUGCUGCUCUGAGAUCCACUGGCUGGUGUCAUUUUUAGGGCUGAUUUCCAUCUUCUGGUGGCAAGAGGGCUCCCUGCUGUGACCAGGAGAUAUGCUCCCACAAGAGAAGGAAAAAAUCUAUUCUUUACCUAUCAGCCAGAACAAUUUUUAACUGUUUGAACUAGUUGUUUCCAACAGAACAAUUUUACUUUUAAUUUACAGGGGGUGUUUGGUAAUGCCUGAUGACAUUUUUGGUUGUCAUAUCUUGGGGAGAGGUUACUGGCCUCUGUUGGAUAGAAGCCAGAAGUGCUAUUAACCAUCCUAAAAUGCAAAGGACUGCUCUCCAAAAUAAACACCUCAUCUGAAGUGUGAACAGUGCUGAGAUUGGAUAACCCAGAUUUAUUUAACUUUUAUUUUUGAGAGAGAGAGAGAGAGAGCAAAUGGGGGAGGGGAAGAGACAAGGAGACACAGAAUCUGAAGCAGGCUCUAGCCUCUGAGAUGUCACAACAGAGCCUGAUGCAGGGCUUGAACUUGCAAAUGGUGGGUGAGAUUAUGACCUGAGCCAAAGUUAGGUGCCCCUUAACCGACUGAGCCACCCAGGUGCCCCUGAAUAACCUAGGUUUAACCAAAUCCCCUCAGUGACCUCUGUCAUGUUUUCCCUUUUUUCAUCAAAUUGGUAUCUUUACACUGAACUACAGGAUUCUGCAUGACCUGGUCUCUAUCUACUCUCCAUUGUUGUUUUGUCUCAUUCUCUAUUCAGCCUACCAUUCUAGUCACACUGCCUUUUAAAAUUUUCUUCUCAGAGGUGACAAAUCUGUAUAUUGAAAACUAUAGAAAGCUUAUAUAAGAAACUGAAGAAGACACAAAAAACUGGAAAAAGAUUCCAUGCUCAUG